rnacentral:lncRNA from 1 species
ACAAAGAAAAUGAUCCAAAUGAAAUCAACAUCGAGACUUAGGGUUUUAUCUGACAGAAUUCCACGAGUUUUGGUGUUUGUCUAUUUCUGCAGGGGGUUAUCAGGAAAUAAGGAAGAAAGGCCCACACGUCGGGAUUACAUAGAGAUAUCAACGUGCCGCGCAAUUAUCUUACAUCUAGAAGACUCCAGAAGCCACGGGAAGGAAGCGGAGACCGAACGGAGUCAGGGACAGGGUGCCCGCCCAAGUCCUUAGGGCGCCCGCCCACCUUUUUCGGCCAAUCACGCUCAAUCUCGCGGAUUAUGCUCCACCGACCUAAAGGAUCAAGAAUAACCGUUCAAUCAAUGUCGGUUUGAUCCGACGGCCCAGGUUCACUUGAGGGGACUAUAAAACCAGACCCCUUGGCCCCUGGAGGAGGAACCCCUUGAUCAUUAUUCAUUAUUCAUAGACAGAGCAAAAGCUAGGGUUUAGAGAUGAGAGCUCUCCUCUCUUCUCUAAACUAGAGUAGAUCAAGAUAGUAGCGAGAUGGAGAGCGAAGGAGGAUUAGAGGAGAGGCCGGCCUGUCGGUUCUUCCUCCAGUUGUACUUCGCCAUGAUCAAGCUCUAAUCAAGCUUGCUCAUGGGAUGACUCUGGUAAUCUGCUUCUAAUUCAUUAUGCAAUUACUAAUCAUGUAUGUUCUGGUUCACAACUCUUUUGAGUACUUCUAAUUUAUAGGACCCUAUAGGUUAGAGUUGUAGUAUAGGUGUAAGCGUGGUGCUUAGACCUAGAUUACUUGUGGAUAUCCCCUGACUAGCUGGAUCGUAUGGUAGGCCGCGUAGGUGACAGUUACGUUGGUCCCCUGUAGUCCACCUCUCGUUAGCAGGACGGGUAGGGUUUAUCGGCUUAUGGAUAAGCAUCCUUUGUGGUGUACUCUUAUCAUGUGGUUCGUCCCAGACAUAGACAUACCCCUUUGAAGUAGAGAAACCAUAGUUAUCCUCUCUAUUCUGCUACCAUCGCCCAUAUACUAGAAUUGCUCUAUUCUCUAUUCCCAUAUUAUCACUCACUGUUAUCUUACCUUUAGUAUUGUUCUUAUUCGAUUCUACCAUCUUUCCUAUUCACACCUAUUUACUUAUCUUGGUUAAGUUAGAGCGUAGAUUAGUUCUCCCGUUUUCCUGUGGAUACGAUAAAACCUUUAACCGGGUAAAAGCUUCAACGGUAUCCGUGCGCUUGCGGAUUAUCUGUGUGCGUAUAAAUACUAUAGUACACUCUAGUGCCAUGCUGGGGAUGACAACCUAGUAUUCAAGUGGUGUUAGCAAGUGUCAACAAGCAUUUUUGGCGCCGUUGCCGGGGAUCGAACGGUUGCUGAGUUGACUACGAACUAGUUUAAUCAUUUUAUAAAAAAUAAAUAAAAAAAAAUAUUUUCCUUUUAUCCUUUGCCUCAUCUCUGCUAUUCUUUCUUCUUAUAUAAUCCUUGAUCUCUGGUCUAUUAUGAAUUCAAACAUGUCUAUCUAUGAAUUUCAUAGACCUAUGGGCACACAUCUCGAACCACCAAAAUCUUCAAAGCCUAUCAUAGCAUCUAGUUUUGAGAUAGACCCCGAAUACAUAGAAUUUAUUCAAAAACAACCUUUCUCAGGAAAAGGUGAGGAAAACCCAUACACACACCUAAGAGAGUUUUAUCGAGUCUGUGACCUCCUUCGCAUAGAAGGCAUGUCCGAUGAGACCCUUAAAUGGAAGCUCUUUCCGUUCUCUUUAACGGGAAAAGCUAGACAUUGGUAUAAAC